UACGUAGGCAGCGAGCGUUGUUCGGAGUUACUGGGCGUAAAGGGUGUGUAGGCGGUUGUUUAAGUUUGGUGUGAAAUCUCCCGACUCAACUGGGAGGGUGCGCCGAAUACUGAAUGACUUGGAGUGCGGGAGAGGAAAGUGGAAUUCCUGGUGUAGCGGUGAAAUGCGUAGAUAUCAGGAGGAACACCGGUGGUGUAGACGGCUUUCUGGACCGUAACUGACGCUGAGACACGAAAGCGUGGGUAGCAAACAGG
rnacentral:rRNA from 1 species